UCUUACAGCAUUGGACAAUGACUCAUGGAUGAGGAAAUUGACUCAUCUCUCAACUAUUGCCAGAAUAAUAAGGCAUUACCAUGCUUGAAGUAACUUUAGUGGAGGACAUACACAUUUUCCUGUUUAGUCUUGCUGCCAUUAGACAAUCCAUAUGGAAAAAUUACUGGUACAGUCAAGAGGAAGUUGUCUUCAAGACUGUGACAUUGUGGCCACCAAUAGGAGUCCACUCUCAGCUGAGGAAUUCCUUAAGUCAUUUGUGAUGCUGGAGAUGAUAGCAUGUAGCCAUGCAAAAUUUCACACUAGUAUAUUGAUUUAUAGUGUUCACUUUCCUCCAAUAUGAAACAGUUUAUUUCUUCUACACCUAGCUCAGCAAGGCAUUCUGUGGAUUACCUUAUUAGUAAUUAUAACAGGCUUUAUGGCUAUAAUUUACUUUAAAAAUGCUGAGCAGUAUUAGAACAGUUAUAAAUCAAUAUUUCUUUUUGGUUAUCUUAUGCCUUCCUAUCUUGGAGAAGCUUUAGAAUCAAUUCAUUAAGAAAAUAAUCAUGAAUUAAUGAGUGUGUCACAUCAAUUAAUUUGUGCACAGGUUUAAGAAACAAAUAUUGUUUUCAUCCUACUGAUGCUUCUAAGUAAUGCAGAAAAUGAAAUAAAAUUAUAUUGAAAAAUA
ensembl:lncRNA novel transcript